rnacentral:rRNA from 1 species
AGAGUUUGAUCCUGGCUCAGGAUGAACGCUGGCGGCGUGCCUAAUACAUGCAAGUCGAGCGAACAGACGAGGAGCUUGCUCCUUCGACGUUAGCGGCGGACGGGUGAGUAACACGUAGGUAACCUACCUAUAAGACUGGGAUAACUUCGGGAAACCGGAGCUAAUACCGGAUAAUAUUUCGAACCGCAUGGUUCGAUAGUGAAAGAUGGCUUUGCUAUCACUUAUAGAUGGACCUGCGCCGUAUUAGCUAGUUGGUAAGGUAACGGCUUACCAAGGCAACGAUACGUAGCCGACCUGAGAGGGUGAUCGGCCACACUGGAACUGAGACACGGUCCAGACUCCUACGGGAGGCAGCAGUAGGGAAUCUUCCGCAAUGGGCGAAAGCCUGACGGAGCAACGCCGCGUGAGUGAUGAAGGUCUUCGGAUCGUAAGACUCUGUUAUUAGGGAAGAACAAACGUGUAAGUAACUGUGCACGUCUUGACGGUACCUAAUCAGAAAGCCACGGCUAACUACCUGCCAGCAGCCGGGCGUAAUACGUAGGUGGCAAGCGUUAUCCGGAAUUAUUGGGCGUAAAGCGCGCGUAGGCGGUUUUUUAAGUCUGAUGUGAAAGCCCACGGCUCAACCGUGGAGGGUCAUUGGAAACUGGAAAACUUGAGUGCAGAAGAGGAAAGUGGAAUUCCAUGUGUAGCGGUGAAAUGCGCAGGAUAUGGGAGGAACACCAGUGGCGAAGGCGACUUUCUGGGUCUGUAACUGACGCUGAUGUGCGAAAGCGUGGGGAUCAACAAGGAUUAGAUACCCUG